AGUUUGAUCAUGGCUCAGGAUGAACGCUAGCGGGAGGCCUAACACAUGCAAGCCGAGCGGUAUUGUUUCUUCGGAAAUGAGAGAGCGGCGUACGGGUGCGGAACACGUGUGCAACCUGCCUUUAUCUGGGGGAUAGCCUUUCGAAAGGAAGAUUAAUACUCCAUAACAUAUUGAACGGCAUCGUUUAAUAUUGAAAGCUCCGGCGGAUAGAGAUGGGCACGCGCAAGAUUAGCUAGUUGGUGAGGUAACGGCUCACCAAGGCGAUGAUCUUUAGGGGGCCUGAGAGGGUGAUCCCCCACACUGGUACUGAGACACGGACCAGACUCCUACGGGAGGCAGCAGUGAGGAAUAUUGGUCAAUGGGUGCAAGCCUGAACCAGCCAUCCCGCGUGAAGGACGACUGCCCUAUGGGUUGUAAACUUCUUUUGUAUAGGGAUAAACCUACCCUCGUGAGGGUAGCUGAAGGUACUAUACGAAUAAGCACCGGCUAACUCCGUGCCAGCAGCC
rnacentral:rRNA from 1 species